rnacentral:rRNA from 1 species
CUUUGGACGGGUGAGUAACACGUGGGUAACCUACCUUUAAGACUGGGAUAACUUCGGGAAACCGGAGCUAAUACCGGAUAACUCUUGGAACCGCAUGGUUUCAAGUUAAAAGAUGGCGUCAAGCUAUCACUUAGAGAUGGACCCGCGGCGCAUUAUCUAUUUGGUGUGGUAAUGGCUCACCAAGGCAACGAUGCGUAGCCGACCUGAGAGGGUGAUCGGCCACACUGGGACUGAGACACGGCCCAUACUCCUACGGGAGGCAGCAGUAGGGAAUCUUCUGCAAUGGACUAAAGUCUGACGGAGCAACGCCGCGUGAGCGAUGAAGCCUUCGGGUCGUAAAGCUCUGU